rnacentral:rRNA from 1 species
UCCUAAUACAGGGAGGUAGUGACAAGAAAUAACAAUACAGGACUUUUUGGUUUUGUAAUUGGAAUGAGUUAAGUAUAAACCCCUUUACAAGUAUCAAUUGGAGGGCAAGUCUGGUGCCAGCAGCCGCGGUAAUUCCAGCUCCAAUAGCGUAUAUUAAAGUUGUUGCAGUUAAAAAGCUCGUAGUUGGAUUUCUGUUAAUAAUUUAUAUAAAAUAUUUUGAAUAUUUAUAUAACAUUAACAUAAUUCAUAUUACUAUAUUUUUUAGUAUAUGAAAUUUUACUUUGAGAAAAUUAGAGUGCUUAAAGCAGGCAUAUGCCUUGAAUACUCCAGCAUGGAAUAAUAUUAAAGAUUUUUAUCUUUCUUAUUGGUUCUAAGAUAAGAAUAAUGAUUAAUAGGGACAGUUGGGGGCAUUUGUAUUUAACAGUCAGAGGUGAAAUUCUUAGAUUUGGUAAAGACAAACUAAUGCGAAAGCAUUUGCCAAGGA